rnacentral:rRNA from 1 species
UGGGGAAUCUUGGGCAAUGGGCGCAAGCCUGAUCCAGCGACGCCGCGUGGGUGAUGAAGGCCUUCGGGUUGUAAAGCCCUUUCGCCGGGGACGAUGAUGACGGUACCCGGUAAAGAAGCACCGGCUAACUCCGUGCCAGCAGCCGCGGUAAUACGUAGGGGGCGAGCGUUGGCCGGAAUUAUUGGGCGUAAAGAGCGUGUAGGCGGCCUGGUAAGUCUGCCGUGAAAACCUGGGGCUCAACCCUGGGCGUGCGGUGGAUACUGCUAGGCUAGAGGUUGGUAGAGGCGAGUGGAAUUCCCGGUGUAGCGGUGAAAUGCGCAGAUAUCGGGAGGAACACCAGUAGCGAAGGCGGCUCGCUGGGCCAUUCCUGACGCUGAGACGCGAAAGCGUGGGGAGCAAACAGGAUUAGAUACCCCCGUAGUCC